AGCGAACGCUGGCGGCAGGCUUAACACAUGCAAGUCGAGCGGGCAUCCUUGUGGUGUCAGCGGCAGACGGGUGAGUAACGCGUGGGAACGUGCCCUUCGGUUCGGAAUAACUCAGGGAAACUUUAGCUAAUACCGGAUACGUGCGAGAGCAGAAAGGUUUAUCUGCCGAGGGAUCGGCGCGCGUCUGAUUAGCUAGUUGGUGAGGUUAUGGCUCACCAAGGCGACGAUCAGUAGCUGGUUGGAGAGGAUGCCCAGCCACACUGGGACUGCGGCACGGCCCAGACUCGGACGGGAGGCAGCAGUGGGGAAUACUGGACAAUGGGGGCAACCCUGAUACAGCCAUGCCGCGUGAGUGAGGACGGCCUUAGGGUUGUAAAGCUCUUUUCUACGGGACGAUAAUGACGGUAACGGAGGAAUAAGCCCCGGCUAACUACGUG
rnacentral:rRNA from 1 species